AACGAACGCCGGCGGCAGGCUUAACACAUGCAAGUCGAGCGCCCCGCAAGGGGAGCGGCAGACGGGUGAGUAACGCGUGGGAAUCUACCCAUCUCUACGGAAUAACGCAUGGAAACGUGUGCUAAUACCGUAUACGUCCUUCGGGAGAAAGAUUUAUCGGAGAUGGAUGAGCCCGCGUUGGAUUAGCUAGUUGGUGGGGUAAAGGCCUACCAAGGCGACGAUCCAAAGCUGGUCUGAGAGGAUGAUCAGCCACACUGGGACUGAGACACGGCCCAGACUCCUACGGGAGGCAGCAGUGGGGAAUAUUGGACAAUGGGCGCAAGCCUGAUCCAGCCAUGCCGCGUGAGUGAUGAAGGCCCUAGGGUUGUAAAGCUCUUUCACCGGUGAAGAUAAUGACGGUAACCGGAGAAGAAGCCCCGGCUAACUUCGUGCCAGCAGCCGCGGUAAGAC
rnacentral:rRNA from 1 species